rnacentral:rRNA from 1 species
AGUGAACGCUGGCGGUAGGCCUAACACAUGCAAGUCGAACGGCAGCACAGUAAGAGCUUGCUCGUACGGGUGGCGAGUGGCGGACGGGUGAGGAAUACAUCGGAAUCUACUUUUUCGUGGGGGAUAACGUAGGGAAACUUACGCUAAUACCGCAUACGACCUACGGGUGAAAGCAGGGGAUCUUCGGACCUUGCGCGAUUGAAUGAGCCGAUGUCGGAUUAGCUAGUUGGCGGGGUAAAGGCCCACCAAGGCGACGAUCCGUAGCUGGUCUGAGAGGAUGAUCAGCCACACUGGAACUGAGACACGGUCCAGACUCCUACGGGAGGCAGCAGUGGGGAAUAUUGGACAAUGGGCGCAAGCCUGAUCCAGCCAUACCGCGUGGGUGAAGAAGGCCUUCGGGUUGUAGAGCCCUUUUGUUGGGAAAGAAAAGCAGCAGGUUAAUACCCCGCUGUUCUGACGGUACCCAAAGAAUAAGCACCGGCUAACUUCGUG